AUCCAGUUGACGAUUCCAAAACAGGACGAAGGGCACGUCCUGGAU
rnacentral:hammerhead_ribozyme from 1 species